GCGGGGCACGGCUGCCGGAGAGAGGGCGGGGCGUGGCAGCGAGAAAGCUGCGCCGGGGAGAGCAGAACUGGAGCGACAGCGGAAUAGGGCGGAUCGGAGCUCGCGGCACUGAGAGUCCGCGAGAAGAGCCGGCUUCACGGGAAGUGGCAGCUGGAUAGAGGCGGGAGAGCGAGGCUCCGGCGGGACAGUACCGAGAGCGCUGACUAGAGCCCAGAUCCCAGCCGCUCCCACUCCGCUGCUCCCUUUAUGUUGCCGCUAUGGCUCCUGAGGGGUGCUUUCCAGAAGCAGUUUGAGUGCCUGGUGUGCGCCUCAUUAUAGAGAGCUCGAAUGCCCUGGAAGGCAUAGUGCCAGCCAAGAAAGACCGUUGAAGAUUCUCUGCCUGAGACCAACAGGAACAAAGGUGAAAAGCAGGCCAAGAGGCAGAAUGUCAUAUCCAAAGGCAAACCACCAGGAGCAGAUGGAAUGCAAGACCAUGUGAUCUGACUCUGAGCCCAGCUGUUGACCAGGAAGCCAGAAAACCUAUCUCCAACUCAUCUCUCCAUGCGGCAGCUAAUCAACUUGCCUGAACUUAAAAUCACAUAGACGUCACAUCUCCGGGUGUAUCUGAGAGUAUUUCCAGAGAGGUAUAAAUGAGGAGGGAAGACUCACCCUGAAUGUGGGCAGUGCCAGCCCUUGAAUUAAGGUUUCAGACUAAGUAUGAAGGGACAAAGGAGCAAGCCAUCUGAGCACCAGCAUUCAUCUCUCUGUUUUCUGACUGCAGAUGCAAUGUAACCAGGCACCUCACUCUCCUGCCGUCAUGCUUUACCUGUUAUGAUGGACAACCUCAAACCAUGAGUCAAGCGAACUCUUCUUCCUUCCUUGAGUUGCUUUGGUAGGGUAUUUGGUAGGCCAAUAAGAAGAGUAACUAACACUCCACUACAGACAAGAGGAGAGUUAUUGCUGCCAUCAGCUUCACAGAUCUUCCCCAUGGUUCCAAACACCCUUCCUUCUUCUGGUAAUAAAACAAAAGCUCCUAUUCAGAUGAGUUAAGACCAGUAGCUACAACACUGAUGAAUUUGUCCACAGCUAGCAAGAAAUGCACUGGAACAGGGUAUAGUGAUAUACAUAGUGAUAUAUUCCCAAGUGCUGGAAUUGUGGAGAUAUAUAUAUAUAAUUUUGAGAUAAGCUCUUGCCUGGCCUCUGACUCAUGGUAAACCUUCUUCCUGAGGCCCCAAGUGCUGGGAAUACAGACAUGAGUACCACUCACACAAUUCCAGCACUUGGGAGGUGGAGGCAGGAUGAGGAAUUCAAGAUACAUCCUUGGCUACAUAGUGCGUUCAAGGCCAGCCUGGGCUCCAUGAUAUCUAGCUCAAAACAAACAACAAACAAAUGCAUUCAAAGUGUCCUUCAAAGGCUAAGAAACUACUGAUACAUUUAAUUUUUUUUUAAUUUAUAGUCCCGGGCCCUCCAGUAUGCAGAGUCUAGGCUCUGCCUUUCAGCUACACCCUCAGCAUACAGUCAGGAAUUCUAUCCAAUAAGAGGAGGCAACCUCUUAUUGUUUUCAUCCAACCACAAGAUCUACUGUCCUGUGAGUUACUGUCCUUCAAGUCACUGAUAUCCCAAACUGACCACUCUGGGAUCUGACAUUUCUUUUAAAAAUUCAUCCAACAAGAAAUGAGUAAGAUGGGUCAAUGACUACAGCAAUGGGCAAUAGUAUGGACUAGUGGAAAAGCAGCUGCAGAAACAUGUCAGUAGAAGAAUGUAAAUUGAGUGAAUAUAGCUUCCCACUGUCUGCUAAUUUCAACUUUUCAAAAAGUAAAGCCAGGUAUGGUGGCUCAUGUCUGUAUUCCCAGCACUUGGGGCCUCAGGAAGAAGAUUUACCAUGAGUCAGAGGCCAGGCAAGAGCCUAUCGCAAAAUAAUAAUAAAUAAAUUACUGGUGGAAGAAUGUACAAGAAACAAAGACACAGAGACAAUAAAGGACAGACUCUCAG